GACGAACGCUGGCGGCGUGCUUAACACAUGCAAGUCGAACGGAAAGGCCCUGCUUGCAGGGUACUCGAGUGGCGAACGGGCGGGUAACACGUGGGUGAUCUGCCCUGCACUUCGGGAUAAGCCUGGGAAACUGGGUCUAAUACCGGAUAGGAGCCAUUUUGAGCGUGAUGGUUGGAAAGUUUAUUCGGGCUUGGAUGAGCUCGCGGCCUAUCGGCUUGUUGGUGGGGUAAUGGGCUACCAAGGCGGCUACGGGUAGCCGGCCUGAGGGGCUGGACGGCCACCCUGGGUCCGAGGUGCGGCCCCGGUACCUACGCGUGCGAGCUGUGCGGAAUCUUGACGGAUGGGCGCCGGCCGGGUGCUGCGGCGCCUCGUGUCGGAUGACUGCCUUAGGGUUGUAAACUACAUUCGCAAGGAACGAAGCUCUUUGUGACGGUACCUAGUUAAAAAGCACCGGCUAACUACGUG
rnacentral:rRNA from 1 species